UAUACAGAAAAAGUAGCACCUGAGAGGGAUCCAAAAUGGCCAAAUAGGAACAGCCCUGGAGUGCAGUCCCCAGCGAGAACAACACAGAGGGUGAGUGAUCACCAAAUU